rnacentral:rRNA from 1 species
AUGAAGUCGGAAUUGCUAGUAAUCGCAGAUCAGCAUGCUGCGGUGAAUACGUUCCCGGGCCUUGUACACACCGCCCGUCACACCAUGAGAGUCGAUAACACCCGAAGCCUGUAGUCUAACCAUAAGGGGGACGCAGUCGAAGGUGGGAUUGAUAAUUAGGGUGAAGUCGUAACAAGGUAAC